UACAGAGGUCUCAAGCGUUGUUCGGAUUCAUUGGGCGUAAAGGGUGCGUAGGCGGGCAGGUAAGUCAGUGGUGAAAUCCUGGAGCUUAACUCCAGAACUGCCAUUGAUACUAUCUGUCUUGAAUAUUGUGGAGGUAAGCGGAAUAUGUCAUGUAGCGGUGAAAUGCUUAGAUAUGACAUAGAACACCUAUUGCGAAGGCAGCUUACUACGCAUAUAUUGACGCUGAGGCACGAAAGCGUGGGGAUCAAACAGG
rnacentral:rRNA from 1 species